UGCUCUUUCAUUUUGUUCCUUUCAGAAAUAAAGAUUUAUUGGCGGAAUGUUUCCAAGUAAACUGUGAUAACAAUGAGAGUAAUGUUAGUUGUUGGUCCCAACUUUUCACUGGACAAUGCGCUGAUAUAUCAGAAAAAGGGAGUGAAGCUAAAGCAAUUGAGAAAGAAAUUUUUAAUACUUGAUUCACAGGAGAGUUUGCUGAAUUCCACCCGACUAAGCUUGACAAUCAGCGAUAAAAAAAUACUAAAAACGGCAGUAAAUUCCAAGACUCGUAUCGGAAGAGGGU
rnacentral:lncRNA from 1 species